CACCACACAUUUCCUUAAAUUCAGGUCCAACUCAUAAGGGAAAUGCUUUCUGAGAGUCAUGGACCUCCUGUGCAAGAACAUGAAGCACCUGUGGUUCUUCCUCCUGCUGGUGGCAGCUCCCAGAUGGGUCCUGUCCCAGGUGCAGCUGCAGGAGUCGGGCCCAGGACUGGUGAAGCCUUCGGAGACCCUGUCCCUCACCUGUGCUGUCUCUGGUUACUCCAUCAGCAGUGGUUACUACUGGGGCUGGAUCCGGCAGCCCCCAGGGAAGGGGCUGGAGUGGAUUGGGAGUAUCUAUCAUAGUGGGAGCACCUACUACAACCCGUCCCUCAAGAGUCGAGUCACCAUAUCAGUAGACACGUCCAAGAACCAGUUCUCCCUGAAGCUGAGCUCUGUGACCGCCGCGGACACGGCCGUGUACUACUGUGCGAGAGACACAGUGAUGGGAGAUGAUUAAUUCAUAAAGAACUCC